rnacentral:rRNA from 1 species
AUUUAGAGGAAGGAGAAGUCGUAACAAGGUUUCCGUAGGUGAACCUGCGGAAGGAUCAUUGUCGAAACCUGCGAACCGCAGAACGACCCGCGCACCGGUUAUAAUAAAAUCCCGUUGGGGCGCUCGCACGGGCGUCCCAACAGGCUCGCGGGGAGGACCCGUCCCUCCCGCGGGCAAACGAACAAACAACCCCGGCGCAGGACGCGCCAAGGAAUACGAAACGAAAAAGGGUGCGCGCCCCGCCGUACCGGAGACGGCCAGCGAGCGGGUGCGUCGUCCUCUUAACGAAACAAAACGACUCUCGGCAACGGAUAUCUCGGCUCUCGCAUCGAUGAAGAACGUAGCGAAAUGCGAUACUUGGUGUGAAUUGCAGAAUCCCGUGAACCAUCGAGUCUUUGAACGCAAGUUGCGCCCGAAGCCCCCGGGCCGAGGGCACGUCUGCCUGGGUGUCACGCAACGUCGCCCCCCACCAACCCCUGCCCCGACCACGUCCGGGCGGCGGAGGAGGGAGCGGAGUAUGGCCUCCCGUUGGCACAGCCCGCGGUUGGUUGAAACACGAGUUCCCGGCGCAACGCGUCGCGGCGAUCGGUGGUUGAAAGGCCCCUAAACACCGCCGCGCACCGUGCGAUCCGGACCCUCAAGACCCCGAAGCGUCCGUAGGCGGACGCCCCACACGCGACCCCAGGUCAGGCGGGACUACCCGCUGAGUUUA